rnacentral:rRNA from 1 species
AGAGUUUGAUCCUGGCUCAGAACGAACGCUGGCGGCGCGCUUAAUACAUGCAAGUCGAACGAGAAGGUGUAGCAAUACACUUGUAAAGUGGCGAACGGGUGAGGAAUACAUGGGUAACCUACCCUCGAGUGGGGAACAACCAGCCGAAAGGUUGGCUAAUACCGCGUACGCUUCCGGAUCUUCGGAUUCGGAAGGAAAGUCAUACCGUGGGUAUGACGCUCAAGGAUGGGCUCAUGUCCUAUCAGCUUGUUGGUAGGGUAACGGCCUACCAAGGCUCCGACGGGUAGCUGGUCUGAGAGGACGAUCAGCCACACUGGCACUGCGACACGGGCCAGACUCCUACGGGAGGCAGCAGUAAGGAAUAUUGCGCAAUGGGCGAAAGCCUGACGCAGCGACGCCGCGUGGGGGAUGAAGGUCUUCGGAUUGUAAACCCCUUUCGGGAGGGAAAAUGGAACGAGCAAUCGUUCGGAUGG